rnacentral:sRNA from 1 species
AUUGGGUGUGGUGGCGCAUACCUGUAGUCCUAACUACUAUGGAGGCUGAGGUGAGAGGAUUGCUCGAGCCUGGGAGGUCAAGGCUGCAGUGAGCUGUGAUUGCACCACUGCACUCCAGCCUGGGCAACACAGCGAUAUUCCAUCUCUU